rnacentral:rRNA from 1 species
CAGUCGCCGCGGUAAUACGGAGGGUGCAAGCGUUAAUCGGAAUUACUGGGCGUAAAGCGUGCGUAGGCGGUUUGUUAAGUCUGUUGUGAAAGCCCCGGGCUCAACCUGGGAAUGGCAAUGGAUACUGGCGAGCUAGAGUGCGUCAGAGGAUGGUGGAAUUCCCGGUGUAGCGGCGAAAUGCGUAGAGAUCGGGAGGAACAUCAGUGGCGAAGGCGGCCAUCUGGGACAACACUGACGCUGAGGCACGAAAGCGUGGGGAGCAAACAGGAUUAGAUACCCCCGUAGUCCCUGUCUCUUAUAC